GAAAAAAGCGGCACACGGAUAAUACCGUGCGACUGACGAUACCUGCAGAACCAGCAUUUAACUACGUGCCAGCAGCCGCGGUAAUACGUAGGGUGCAAGCGUUAAUCGGAAUUACUGGGCGUAAAGAAGGUGCGCAGGCACGGUUCGGAAAAGAAAGAUGUGAAAUCCCAGAGCUUAGCUUUGGAACUGCAUUUUUUAACUACCGAGCUAGAGUGUGUCAGAGGGAGGUGGAAUUCCGCGUGUAGCAGUGAAAUGCGUAGAUAUGCGGAGGAACACCGAUGGCGAAGGCAGCCUCCUGGGAUAACACUGACGCUCGUGCACAGCGUGGGAGCAAACAGGAUUAGAUACCCUUGUAGU
rnacentral:misc_RNA from 1 species